rnacentral:lncRNA from 1 species
CCAGGGGUGACUCUCGCCCCACGCGGAGGGGCCCGCACGAGUCCACAGAACAUGACCUGUUACUUAAAAUUUCUGGCACUGUGUAAGGACUCCAGCUCUUCCCUGUGGCACUACAAGACACCACUCAUGUUGGAUGGACAGAAGAUCACUGGAUUUAUUUCUGCCUCUAACUUAAAUAUGGAAUUUUAAUGGGAAGGUCUUAAGACCUGUCAGGGCAACUAGGUAAGUAGCACGUUGUUC